CGCUGCGCUACCUCGGGCCGGCCGGCGGGGCGCUAAGUUCCCCGCCAGCUGUUGCAUGCACCGGCCCCGGGAGCCAGAGCUGUCGCCUGGGCCCUCCCGUAUUCCCCGCGGGCCUUGGAGACCCUCCCCCCUACUGCCCCAGGGCCAAAGACAGAGGAGGACAGAGCCGAGGUCUGGCCAAGGAUUCGGUGCAUCUGGGGAGGAGGCAGUGGCUGCCAAUGACCGUUCAGGGGCAUUAGCAUUCUGAGGAUCUCCUUGACCAGAUGUGAGCAGGCAACAAACACUGUCUCAUAUAAUCACCAGUGAAAAAUCUCUGAAGCUCUGUCUCUGGCCCUGGGAGAAAAAUUCAAAAGAAUUUCUUCCUGCCACUGCCCAGAAACUGGAGAUCUCUUCCAUACCCUGAAGGAGGAUUCAGGGCUGGGGACUGAUGCUGCUACUCUUCCUGGGACAUCUUAGGCUCAUCCUCCUCCAGAUCACCCCCCUCUUCUUUCCUGAGGACCUAUCUUUGUUCCAGCUGGAGUGAUGGCCGUCAGAAAUGAGGAGACCUAGUCCUUCUCCUCUGGGAUCUUCCACCCUAGUUCUCAGACUCAUCGCUUGACCUCUGAGAUCAUCAAGCCAGGACUUCACUUUGUUUGUGUCAUGGAAGCUUUGGGAAGUCUGUAGAUCCCUUUUUAGGAUGUUUUUAAAUGCAUAAAAUAAAAUAAAAAGGAAACCAAAGAUGAGUGGAAAA
rnacentral:lncRNA from 1 species